CUGGGUUUGAUGGAAUCGUUGGUAAAUGAAUGGACAUCCAAAGAGGGGGACUGUAUGCCUCUGUCUUUCUGAGGGAGAGAUGCGGACAGCUGAGGCGUCUGAAAUGUGGAUGGAUUAGACUCAUUAGCGGCUUCUGCUCCAAGGCGCAGCGUUAACUGUGAUUUGCCUGUUAUUUCCAUCACUGUCUGCUGGAGGCCACUUAGCUUUUAGCUGGAAGAGGAUUUUCACCAGAAAUGCAGAGUUCCCAAAGCAAAGGACAUUAAUCCACCAGAAGCAGUCACCCUGCAGGACAUUAGCCUAGCUUCCUGAAUCCUCUCCUGAAAAGAUGUCUGGGAGACACAGAAAAAAAAGACAGAGAGAAAGCUCUGUGUUUCAUCCCAGUAAGAGUCUACAGCCAGAAAGAAAGAAGUUGCCAUCAAAAAUCUCCUGUCCUGGAAUUUGUUUCUGAAGAUCUCAGCCCACUGAAGGUGAUAAGUGAGAUGAGUCAGAGAGACACAUCAGGUGAAAGGAGAGUCA